AUCUGAUGCAGCAGUACGUCCCCUAACCGCGCGCGCAAUCGUGAACUAACUCGGCCGAUUCGAUCGAUGAGUACAAGUACAGACGGCAGGGUCGCGGUGGCGAAUUAUAGGCCGAGCGCGCCGAGCGGCGUCUUGCCCUGUCCGGCCUCGAAGUAGAAGGUGAGCAUGGCGAGCAUGGCGAUGCGGGCGUGCUUGAUCUCGGCCAGCUUGAGCCGCUCGAGCUUCUCGGUGUCGGGGAUGUAGACGCCGUCCUUGACGGUGCCGGCGAGGCCGAGCGGGUCGAAGAACUUGCCGCCGGGGUAUCCCUGGUCGCCGGUGAAGUUGGCGAAGUUCUCGGCGGUGCGGGACCAUGGG
rnacentral:lncRNA from 1 species